GCAUUGGUGGUUCAGUGGUAGAAUUCUUGCCUGCCAUAUGGGAGGCCUGGGUUCGAUUCCCGGCCAAUGCA
rnacentral:tRNA from 1 species